GACGGUUUGGCUGAGUGGUUAUAGCGUCAAGUUGCUAUCUUGAUUCCUUCGGGAGCGGGAGUUCGAAUCUCUCAGCCGUCU
rnacentral:tRNA from 1 species